GGGAGACUGACGCUGAGGCGCGAAGGUGCGGGUAGCGAACAGGAUUAGAUACCCUGGUAGUCCGCACAGUAAACGAUGCACGCUGGGCGUCCGGCGCAUGGCCGGGUGCCGAAGCGAACGCGGUAAGCGUGCCGCCUGGGGAGUAUGCCCGCAAGGGUGAAACUCAAAGGAAUUGACGGGGGCCCGCACAAGCGGUGGAGCAUGUGGUUUAAUUCGAUGGUACGCGAGGAACCUUACCCGGGUUUGACAUGCACGGUGAUGCCGCGGAGACGCGGCAGCCCAGCAAUGGGACCGUGUGCAGGUGCUGCAUGGCUGUCGUCAGCUCGUGUCGUGAGGUGUUUGGUUAAGUCCAGCAACGAGCGCAACCCCUGCUGCCUGUUGCCAGCGCGCAAUGGCGGGGACUCAGGCGGGACUGCCGGCGACAAGCCGGAGGAAGGCGGGGACGACGUCAAGUCAUCAUGGCCCUUAUGCCCGGGGCUACACACGUGCUACAAUGGCCGGCACAGAGCGUUGCGACGCGGUGACGCGGAGCGGACCGCUGAAAGCCGGCCCCAGUCCGGAUCGGAGUCUGAAACCCGACUCCGUGAGGUUGGAAUCGCUA
rnacentral:rRNA from 1 species